UACGUAGGGUGCAGGCGUUAAUCGGAUUUACUGGGCGUAAAGGGCGCGUAGGCGGCCUUGUCAGUCAGGCGUGAAAGCCCCGGGCUCAACCUGGGAACGGCGCUUGGGACGGCGAGGCUGGAGUUCGGGAGAGGAGAGUGGAAUUCCCAGUGUAGAGGUGAAAUUCGUAGAUAUUGGGAAGAACACCGGUGGCGAAGGCGGCUCUCUGGACCGACACUGACGCUGAGGCGCGAAAGCGUGGGGAGCAAACAGG
rnacentral:rRNA from 1 species